rnacentral:lncRNA from 1 species
GCAUGCCCUUGGGUAUCAUCGAUCUCUAGGUUCCUUGAUUUGCAGAUUAAUCUCUAGUAUUCCCACAUGAUCUGAUUUUCAUAACAAUUGGUAUUAGAGCGCUAGUUCAUGGAGAAGGAAGGAAUCGAGCUAGAAGGAAGAAGAUCUUCGAAGGCUAAAGCUUCAACGAUCCUCUGUCAAGGUAUUUUUCAGAUCUAUCUUGGGUUUGUGCUGUGUUAGUGAUGUGGAUCCAACCAUGGGGAGCAACAUCAAGGUUAAUUUCGAAAAAUUUGAGGGGAAGGAGAGUUUUUUCGUGUGGAAGGUGCGAGUAGA